CCUUCAUGCUUCUGGUAUUGGAGUGCUUUGGAUGUGAGGGUUGCUGGUUGUCACCGAUCAGACUCCCUUGAAAUACAUUAGUGGGAUCUAACUCCACUUCAAGUGUGAUAGUCUAUCUACGCUUGAGCAUUGGAGUUGGUAUAGACCGCUUCUAACCGUCCAUUGACUUGGACAACAGACUUGUAUUGAUACUUUUCAGUCGCAAGACUGGUUGUGAAGUUUGUUAACCCUUACUUCAACCUUUCAAUACUGAGUCGCUCUUGACAUUUGACCUCAAAUCAGGUGGGACUACCCGCUGAACUUAAGCAUAUCAAUAAGCGGAGGAAAAGAAACUAACAAGGAUUCCCCUAGUAACUGCGAGUGAAGCGGGAAAAGCUCAAAUUUGAAAUCUGGCAGUCCUUGUGGCUGUCCGAGUUGUAAUUUAGAGAAGUGUUACCCGUGCUGGACCGUAUACAAGUCCUUUUGAAUGAGGCGUCAUAGAGGGUGACAAUCCCGUCUUUGAUACGGACUCCCAGUGCUUUGUGGUGCGCUCUCGAAGAGUCGAGUUGUUUGGGAAUGCAGCUCAAAAUGGGUGGUAAAUUCCAUCUAAAGCUAAAUACAGGCGAGAGACCGAUAGCGAACAAGUACCGUGAGGGAAAGAUGAAAAGAACUUUGGAAAGAGAGUUAAACAGUACGUGAAAUUGCUGAAAGGGAAACGCUUGAAGUCAGUCGCGUUGGCUUGGGAUCAGCCUUGGCUUGCCUUGGUGUAUUCUCUUGUCAAUGGGACAGCAUCAGUUUUGACCAUUGGAUAAAGGUUUUGGGAAUGUGGCAUCUCCGGAUGUGUUAUAGCCCUUGACUGUAUACAGUGGUCGGGACUGAGGAAUUCAGUGCACCGCAAGGCCGGGUUUCGACCACGUAUGCACUUAGG
rnacentral:rRNA from 1 species